AUACGUAGGGGGCAAGCGUUGUCCGGAAUUACUGGGCGUAAAGAGCUCGUAGGCGGCUCAGCAAGUCGGUCGUGAAAGCCCGAGGCUCAACCUCGGAACUGCGGUCGAUACUGCUGUGGCUAGAGUCCGGUAGAGGAGAGUGGAAUUCCCGGUGUAGCGGUGGAAUGCGCAGAUAUCGGGAGGAACACCAGUGGCGAAGGCGGCUCUCUGGGCCGGUACUGACGCUGAGGAGCGAAAGCGUGGGGAGCAAACAGGAGUAGAAACCCUAGUAGUCC
rnacentral:rRNA from 1 species